CACCUCCGGCCCCUCCCGGGACUCCCCCCUCACCUGCCCACAGUCCUCCCGGAACGCCCUGGCCCGGCUGCCCCACUGCCCGCGAGGUGGGCUUCCCACCAGCCGCCAAAGCUGCUGGUAAUUACCGAGCGAGCCCCCGUGUCGGAUGCAACCCGACGGACGGCUGGUGAGAGGAUGUUCUCCGCUGGACACUUGCCACUGCGAGAGAUGGACAUGAAGAAGCCCCAGGGCAGGCAGUGUGAUUUGAGGGCAUCAGGAAGGCUUCCCACCCCACCCACUGCCCAGAAUUUUCCACCUCAUCAGGGUGCCUCAUCUUCCGCUAAUUACCUAGUCACAUUUCCGGAUUUCAGCUUCCCUAAGCAACUGGCCGAGCUAUAAAACUACGAACCCAGCGGACUUGCAGUUCCCAGAGGGUGGAAGAUUUGGAGAGAUCUGUCCCAGAACCAGACUGUCAUGGAGAAAACAAGGAAACAAAACAAACUCAGUAUUUGUGAAGCUCAACAAAGAGAAAUCAGAGCCAAUAUUACCCUGACACAUAAUAAAGGCUAA